rnacentral:rRNA from 1 species
UAAACAAAGCGGAAAAAUAGGAGAGGGCAGUAGCACCGACUUCGAGGCUUAGGUUAGCGAGGGUUCUAAUCCUCAAUCUUAGUCCUAAAACGAGGUCGUUAAAUUCUCCGGCCGGUGCGUGACCACAGCGCGGGUUAACAAACACGUCAAACCAGUUCAGUCGGUACUAUCGCUUGCCCUCCGAGGUCUUCGUCCGUAACGAAGGCGGCGCGUAGGGCAAGAGCCGCCGCAGCGGCAGCGGCAGCGGCGUUCGGCUCCAGCCGGGCUAGCCCUCCGGCGCCCUUCGAGUGGUGUCCGUUCCGGUGGUCGCGUGAAGCAGCCUCUCGCAGGAGCAGCUGCUCGUCGGAAGCACUGAACUACUGAACGAGCUGCUCGGGCUGAGUGGCCGCGCCGGAAUGCCGGCAGGUCCCGUAGCGUCCAGAAGGUCGCUGAGCAAGUGCAACAAACUGCCAUGGUGGCGGCGACGAAGACGACCGUACACACCGUUACACGAACUACCUUAUUCCUGUCCUCCUGUUCAACCAAGGACCCCGGCGUGUGGUCUCAAAAAGGCCCUCGGCUCGAGUAAACCCGCUGGCGUCCCCGUCCCGGGCGGCACCCUAGGGUCUGUCUACAAGGACGUCCCACCACCGUAAGGUGAAGGACACUCCCUAUCGUACGGCGACGGUCACUCCCUCUUCUUACCACCCGUAGUACAACAGUACGACUUACCCCGUCUGUACUUUCCUAUACCACUACGUAGAGUAUUAGUCUAGUACCAACCUCGUCGUGCUUUACUCUCACUGCUUGUGGAUUUCCGUGAGAGUUAGUCUUCGUCUGUGGUUUGCGCGGUUUGUCGUUAUACGAGUCUCCAGAGCACAGGCCUUCGAGGUUAUGUAACGUCUCGAGCUCUUUUCUCAAGUUCGGAAUGUCUGUGUUCCCUAUCUUCAAAGUCGACUUUACCUAAAAGAACCAGUUGUUUUAUAGUACAAUCUGGACCUCUUGUUUAGGAACUUUGUCGCCGAACUCUCAAAUAGAGUCCUCGUACAUUAUUUUGCACACGUUGUCCUCUACAAACUCGCCCUUUAUCCAGCAGAAUCUAGUAACAAGGUGUCGUCGUCGUCGUUGUUGUCGUGUAUGAAGUCGUCGUCUGAGGACGGGUGUUAGCAUCAUUGUCGUCUCUGGAGCUAAGUGUUAAGCGUUCGUACAGAGACUUUGUGUUGCUCAGUUUGAGUCCCGUACUACGGCAGGGGCCGGAAGCGUAAAUUCGGAGAAAGGUUGUACACUAAGAUUCUCAAAGCGAAUUGGACGAUAGGGGACACCGUAGUGAUAGAACACCAACAACCAAUGUAGUACUCCCCUCGCUACUGAUACUUGGACCAUAGUUUAGGGUACCACUUAUUACGACCUUUCCCAUUAUUACCUAGCCUACAAGUAAAAU